GCCCACCCCCCAGCUGGAAGACGCCCCGGGUUUCCGAGGGUACCAUGGGCUGCAGGCUGCUCUGCGGCCUGGCCCUUUGUCUCCUGGGAGCAGGACCAGGAGACUCCGGGGUCACUCAAGACCCCAAGCACCUGAUCAAAGCGCAGGGGCAGCGGGCCGCGCUGCGAUGCGCCCCGGUCUCGGGACACCUCUACGUGUUCUGGUACCAGCAGCCGCCGCGGGGCCGGGGCCUGAAGUUCCUUCUGUCCUUCUACAGAGGGGAGCUGCGAGAGAAAGGAAACGGGACGGAGCGGCUGUCCGCCCAGCGGGUGGGCGAGUCGGGCUCCGAGCUCACCCUCAGCGCCCUGGAGCGGGGGGACUCGGCGCUGUUCCUCUGUGCCAGCAGCCAGGCACAGCUCCACACCACCGCCCGCCCGCGGCGCCAAAACCCAAAACCUCCUCCCCUGUGCGCCAGGGGCCCGGGAGGCCUCGCCCUCCCCGACUCUGCGGCAUCAGGACCUCCCUCCCCCCCCACCCCCCACCCGCUGGCUCCAGUGAGCUCGCUAAUGCAAGCAAAUGGCCCAGCAGAGAGCUGUCUAGGUGGCUGGCACUCGGUCUAA